rnacentral:tRNA from 1 species
GGUCCGUUCGUCUAAUGGUUAGGACAGUUGGUUUUCAUCCAACAAACAGGAGUUCAAUUCUCCUACGGACCU